AUGAACGCUGGCGGCGUGCCUAAUACAUGCAAGUCGAGCGAACAGACGAGGAGCUUGCUCCUCUGACGUUAGCGGCGGACGGGUGAGUAACACGUGGAUAACCUACCUAUAAGACUGGGAUAACUUCGGGAAACCGGAGCUAAUACCGGAUAAUAUAUUGAACCGCAUGGUUCAAUAGUGAAAGACGGUUUUGCUAUCACUUAUAGAUGGAUCCGCGCCGCAUUAGCUAGUUGGUAAGGUAACGGCUUACCAAGGCGACGAUGCGUAGCCGACCUGAGAGGGUGAUCGGCCACACUGGAACUGAGACACGGUCCAGACUCCUACGGGAGGCAGCAGUAGGGAAUCUUCCGCAAUGGGCGAAAGCCUGACGGAGCAACGCCGCGUGAGUGAUGAAGGUCUUCGGAUCGUAAAACUCUGUUAUUAGGGAAGAACAAAUGUGUAAGUAACUAUGCACGUCUUGACGGUACCUAAUCAGAAAGCCACGGCUAACUACGUG
rnacentral:rRNA from 1 species